UGCAAAGCCGCGAGGCAGAGCGAACCCCAAAAAGCCGUCUCAGUUCGGAUCGCAGGCUGCAACCCGCCUGCGUGAAGUCGGAAUCGCUAGUAAUCGCGGAUCAGCAUGCCGCGGUGAAUACGUUCCCGGGCCUUGUACACACCGCCCGUCACACCAUGAGAGUCGGGAACACCCGAAGUCCGUAGCCUAACCGCAAGGGGGGCGCGGCCGAAGGUGGGUUCGAUAAUUGGGGUGAAGUCGUAACAAGGUAGC
rnacentral:rRNA from 1 species